UACGAAGGGGGCUAGCGUUGCUCGGAAUCAUUGGGCGUAAAGGGCGCGUAGGCGGCUUCUCAAGCGUGCGGUGAAAGUCAGGGGCUCAACCCCUGAUCGGCCGUGCGAACUGGGGGGCUGGAGCACUGUAGAGGCAGGCGGAAUUCCGGGUGUAGCGGUGGAAUGCGUAGAGAUCCGGAAGAACACCGGUGGCGAAGGCGGCCUGCUGGGCAGUGGCUGACGCUGAGGCGCGACAGCGUGGGGAGCAAACAGG
rnacentral:rRNA from 1 species